rnacentral:rRNA from 1 species
AGCGAACGUUAGCGGCGCGCCUAACACAUGCAAGUCGCACGGAGUAGCAAUACUCAGUGGCGCACGGGUGCGUAACACGUAGAUAACCUGCCCUGAAAUGGGGGAUAACGUUCCGAAAGGAGCGCUAAUACCGCAUAACGCCGAGAUGGGUUCGCCUGCUUCGGACAAAGGCUGGGACCAGCAAUGGCCAGUCGUUUUGGGACGGGUCUGCGGCCCAUCAGCUAGUUGGUAAGGUAAUGGCUUACCAAGGCAAAGACGGGUAGCUGGUCUGAGAGGAUGAUCAGCCACACUGGUACUGGAACACGGACCAGACUCCUACGGGAGGCAGCAGUGGGGAAUCUUGGUCAAUGGGCGCAAGCCUGAACCAGCGACGCCGCGUGAGUGAUGAAGGCCUUCGGGUUGUAAAGCUCUGUGGGGAGGGACGAAAGACUGAGGUCUAAUAGGCUUCAGGUUGACGGUACCUCCUCAGCAAGCACCGGCUAACUCUGUGCCAGCCGCCGCGGUAAGAC